CUGCUAUCAGUUGAACAACAAAUGGAGGAGAUGAGUAUUCUAAACAAGUGAUCAAGAAAGACAAAAGAAACUAACGAGUGGAGCAUCAUUAUUGAAAAGAAGAUGUCAUGCCAUUUUUCACACACUAGAUAAACAGAUAGCUACAGUUGAUGAUUACUGUCAAGAGAGCCUCAAGCACACAAGCAUGAGCAACACGGGCACUGAAACAAGAGCUUCAUUGUCUUUGUCACAGCUUCUUAGACAUUACCAUCAGAGAUAGGUAUUCCAAUGGAGAAAUAGCCUCUUUGAGGCUUCAUAUGUGGAUUCCUUUCAUGUCACUUUAAUAAAGAAGAUGCCCAUGGUCUAGCUAUAGGGAGGUGUUACCACAAAUAAAAGUCAGCUAUUCUUCUAUUCUUCAACUUGUGGUUCCUGUUGGCCAAUUGGAAAAGUAUCCCCCCUUGUUAUUAUUAUUGUACUUUUUCCAGUAGGAUUUCUUUAUGGCAAGAAACAAGGGAAAAAAAUUGAUGUACCUUAAUUUGAUGUAUCUUGAUGUUUUAGUCCAAAUGUGGUUAUCUAAUA